AAAUCAAAAUACAGAUUUCAAAAGGCCUGAUUUUAUAGUGAGACAUUUUUACUUUAGGUUUGGAUAUAAGGAUGAGGAGCUUAAAUGAGAAAAAGUGAAUGGGUUAUUGAUGAUAGAUGGAUUUACAGUAGAUAUGGAUGGCUGAAUGAAGAGUUUGAUUUGAGAUGAAUGAUGGAUGGAUUUUCGAUACACUGUUGUAUUGUGGCAGGAUGGAUGAAGGGUUUGGUUUCGGUUGAUGGAUGAAUGGAUGAGGUGUUUGAUUGGUUUAGAAUUGGUUUGGAUAAGGUGUUUGGUCAUGGAUUGAUAGAUAUAUGUAUGAUAUAUGGAUGAGGUGUUUGACUGGUUUGAAUAGGUUGUUUGGUGAUGGAUUGAUGGACAGAGAAGUUGUUUGAUUGGUUUUGGAUGGGUGGACGGAUGAGGUGUUUGGUUGGUUUUGGAUGGACGGAUAAGGUGCUUGAUUGGUUUUGGAUGGACGGAUGAGGUGUUUGAUUGGAUUUGGAUGGACGGAUGAGGUGUUUGAUUGGUUUUGGAUGGGCGGAUGAGGUGUUUGAUUGGUUUUGGAUGGACGGAUGAGGUGUUUGAUUGGAUUUGGAUGGACGGAUGAGGUGUUUGAUUGGUUUUGGAUGGGCGGAUGAGGUGUUUGAUUGGUUUUGGAUGGGCGGAUGAGGUGUUUGAUUGGUUUUGGAUGGGCGGAUGAGGUGUUUGAUUGGUUUUGGAUGGACGGAUGAGGUGUUUGAUUGGUUUUGGAUGGACGGAUGAGGUGUUUGAUUGGUUU